rnacentral:rRNA from 1 species
CCUACGGGUGGCACCAGUGGGGAAUAUUGGACAAUGGGCGAAAGCCUGAUCCAGCAAUGCCGCGUGUGUGAAGAAGGUCUUCGGAUUGUAAAGCACUUUCGACGGGGACGAUGAUGACGGCACCCGUAGAAGAAGCCCCCGCUAACUUCGUGCCAGCAGCCGCGGUAAUACGAAGGGGGCUAGCGUUGCUCGGAAUGACUGGGCGUAAAGGGCGCGUAGGCGGUUUAUGCAGUCAGAUGUGAAAUCCCCGGGCUUAACCUGGGAAGUGCAUUUGAGACGCAUAGACUAUAGGUCGAGAGAGGGUUGUGGAAUUCCCAGUGUAGAGGUGAAAUUCGUAGAUAUUGGGAAGAACACCGGUGGCGAAGGCGGCAACCUGGCUCGAUACUGACGCUGAGGCGCGAAAGCGUGGGGAGCAAACAGGAUUAGAUACCCUCGUAG